AACUUUCNACAACGGAUCUCUUGGUUCUGGCAUCGAUGAAGAACGCAGCGAAAUGCGAUAAGUAAUGUGAAUUGCAGAAUUCAGUGAAUCAUCGAAUCUUUGAACGCACAUUGCGCCCUCUGGUAUUCCGGAGGGCAUGCCUGUUCGAGCGUCAU
rnacentral:rRNA from 1 species